AUAAGCAUAUCAAUAAGCGGAGGAAAAGAAACCAACAGGGAUUGCCCUAGUAACGGCGAGUGAAGCGGCAACAGCUCAAAUUUGAAAUCUGGCGCAAGCCCGAGUUGUAAUUUGUAGAGGAUGCUUCUGGGCAGCGGCCGUUCUAAGUUCCUUGGAACAGGACGUCAUAGAGGGUGAGAAUCCCGUAUGUGACCGGCGCGCACCCUCCACGUAGCUCCUUCGACGAGUCGAGUUGUUUGGGAAUGCAGCUCUAAAUGGGUGGUAAAUUCCAUCUAAAGCUAAAUAUUGGCCAGAGACCGAUAGCGCACAAGUAGAGUGAUCGAAAGAUGAAAAGCACUUUGGAAAGAGAGUUAAAAAGCACGUGAAAUUGUUGAAAGGGAAGCGCUUACAACCAGACUCCGCGGCGGUGUUCCGCCGGUCUUCUGACCGGUCUACUCGCCGCCGUGGGGCCAACAUCGUCUGGGGCCGCCGGAUAAGACCGUAGGAAUGUAGCUCAUUGAGUGUUAUAGCCUGCGGUGAUGCGGCGCGUCCCGGGCGAGGUCCGCGCUUCGGCAAGGAUGUUGGCGUAAUGGUUGUCAGCGGCCCGUCUUGAAACACGGACCAAGGAGUCUAACAUCUAUGCGAGUGUUCGGGUGUCAAACCCCUACGCGUAAUGAAAGUGAACGGAGGUGGGAAGCUUCGGCUGCACCAUCGACCGAUCCUGAUGUCCUCGGAUGGAUUUGAGUAAGAGCAUAGCUGUUGGGACCCGAAAGAUGGUGAACUAUGCCUGAAUAGGGUGAAGCCAGAGGAAACUCUGGUGGAGGCUCGCAGCGGUUCUGACGUGCAAAUCGAUCGUCAAAUUUGGGUAUAGGG
rnacentral:rRNA from 1 species